rnacentral:rRNA from 1 species
UACGUAGGGUGCAAGCGUUGUCCGGAAUUAUUGGGCGUAAAGAGCUCGUAGGUGGUUUGUCGCGUUGUCCGUGAAAACUCACAACUCAAUUGUGGGCGUGCGGGCGAUACGGGCAGACUGGAGUACUGCAGGGGAGACUGGAAUUCCUGGUGUAGCGGUGGAAUGCGCAGAUAUCAGGAGGAACACCGGUGGCGAAGGCGGGUCUCUGGGCAGUAACUGACGCUGAGGAGCGAAAGCAUGGGGAGCGAACAGG